UUGGCCAUAACCGGGUCUUCCAGUAGGAGAAUUACUCUCAUCUAUAUGAUCUAAGGAUCAUUAUAAGUAACAGCGAUUAGCUGAUCAGAAUUAGAUUUCAACAUAUUUGUGAAAUCCCCCAAUCAUAUAUUUGCACUUGCACAGUUUGGAUAUAUUCUGCCAGUGUGAUGCUUGAUUUGUGCAGUCUGGCAACCUGGCAAUCUGUCAUGAGCACACAAGCUCUCUUUCCACAGUGAAAAGGGUGAACACUGAAUAAAAGGUAUGUCUGAGUUUAGCAAUGGGUUGACGUGUCCUUUCAUGGUUCACAUUAAACUUAAACCACUGAAGGUAUUCCAUUUUUUCAACAAUUUCUCAUGCACCUUUAAAAAAGGCCAAGAGAACAGUUCAAAGAAAUCUAUUUACUCUCUAUAAAAAGAAAAGACCAGAAGGUGAAAUAUUGCUAUGACUAGUGCACAGUUAAAAUAUGGAGGCCUAAAUGUUUAUAUUUUAACUGAAACAAUUUUCAGGUUUUUACCCACAAAAUACUUUUGUGUGAAGAGCUACUAAACUGUUUUCCAAAUUUCUGUAACUAGUUUGGCUAUUGGAGUGGAAACGAUUCUCAUAAUUUUUUAGGUUUCAACUUGUUGAAAACCCACUAGUCAGGACACUUUAGGUGGUCCUCACUAGUAAACAAGGCCCCAUAAAUUGGCCAAAACUUGUUUAGCUUUAAAUCUACUGAUGUACACAGGUUUCUGUGAGGGUAAGGUUUAGGGGUAGGAUUAGGGGAUAUAAAAUACCAUUAGCCUUCUAUCAAAUCAAUGGAAGUCUACACUGUAAAAAAUUUCAGUGAAAACUACAGUAAAAACCUGUAAAAUAGCAACAGUAACAGACUGUUUAAACCAAAAUAAUGUAUCACCGUAUUUCAUACAAUAAAUUACUGUGAUUUAAGAAAUGGUACAUGACUUUAAUUUUUACUCUCCUAAUAUGUAAAAAACAUGCAUUCUUACUGUGAAAAUUUUGUAAAAUUAAUGGGAAAAUACCUUAAAUUCACAAGCAAGUAAUUACCCUAAAAUCAAAGGUAUUAUUCUGCGUAAAUUACACAUUUUGUGUCCUAUAAAAUUUACAAUAUAUAACCUUUCAAAAUUCAACAAACACAUACCCUAAAUUCUACAGUAAUUAGAAGUUAAAAAAAUGCUAUGUGUUUGUUAAAUAAGUCAAUUUUAAGGUAAAACAUGUUUAAAUAGACUGUAAUUUACUUUACUUUUGUGUAAUGUUCUUUUGUGAAAAGAUAUGCAACAACCAGGGGUGCCUGGCAACAGGCAAAAAAUAAAUAAAAGAAAAAAAGAAAGAAAAGAAAAGGCUUAGGCCUAUCAUGUAUCUUGCACGUUAAUUGCGAAAUUUUGUGUGGUUAAUUAUUAAUAAAUAGUUUGCUAGUAGUAAGCGGCAUUGAGACAUUUGUCAAAAGCAUGAAAAACCAAGAAGACCAUCAACUGGCAAAGCGCCAAACACGCACACGGAGAGGAGUACCUUCCCGCUUUUGAGGUCACGUGAACUGCGCUGCUUCGGCUUGAUCUGCAUGCAAGUGUCAGCGCCAUUUUAGCACGCAUACAAUCUGUGGGAAUAACGUUACAUGGUGGCACAACACGACUUCUGGGGACUCAACAUUUAUUUUUAAGACUUAAAGGAAUUGGAGGAGAAUGGGAUUGCGGUAUCAGAUGAAACCGUAGUCAAAGGAACCUUGUAUUGCAUUGCUGGAGAUAAUCUAGGGUGACGAUCCUAAUCUAUGUGGACCAGCCCGCACCAUUGAGAGCUACAAUUCAGCUGUAGAUCGCAUCCAGACUGAAGAUACACAAGUGGAAGGAGUAAAAUUCAAAGACGAUCACGUCAAAACACAAUGAACACAACAACACCUGCUAAACAUUCUUCAAAGACUAUGUCCCACCUCUCUUCAAUAAGUCUGGAGCCAAUAAUUCAGACACCAGUCUUAAGGAUAAUUGAGAGAUUAUACCAGUCCACAGUGACUACGUGUGAGUCCUCAGGUAGUACCCGUGACGAUGCAAGCUUUACGUUUCCAGUUUUUCGAACCGACACAGUCCCAUAUCUUCAGUCAAGCGUGGACUCAUUACUAUUGUUCAGCCAGAGCAAGUGUUGCUGAUUGAUGUUUAUUCCACCAUUGGUUAUCCUUCAUUUAUUAUGGACACAUGCAUUUUUUCCAGGAUCAACACAUCUUUGUGAGUAUACUGAACAAGUUGAUCAGCUCUAACUAUUAUAACACAGUGCCUGUAUGAAGAAGGAAAAAAAAAACAGGUUCUUUAAAGUCUAUUAAUGAUAGUCUGUGCCUUGAUUUACAAUGGGUAGUAUGAUUUACAAUGGGUGGUAUUUAAUAGUUAAUUUAGUAAUUUACAAUGUCCUCUGACUGUUGACUUUAAAAUCUAUGGCAACUAACUGUAAUAACUUAUGUGUACUGUAUUUUUUGCGGUGAAAUUCUGGCAACCACAGCUGCCGGUAAAUUUCUGUAAAACUGACCUUUACAAUAAA